rnacentral:rRNA from 1 species
UACGUAGGGGGCGAGCGUUGUCCGGAAUCACUGGGCGUAAAGGGUACGCAGGCGGCUUGGCAAGUUAGAUGUAAAAUGCUAAAGCUCAACUUUAGUAAGCAUUGGAAACUGUCAAUCUUGAGUGAUGGAGGGGCAAGUGGAAUUCCUAGUGUAGCGGUGGAAUGCGUAGAUAUUAGGAGGAAUACCGGUGGCGAAGGCGACUUUCUGGCCAUCAACUGACGCUGAGGUACGAAAGCGUGGGUAGCAAACAGG